ACUUGUUGAUAGUGCUUGAUAACACGCGCGAUUUAAAAUCCCUCGGCGUUCGCGCUGUGCGGGUUCAAGUCCCGCUCCGGGUACCA
rnacentral:tRNA from 3 species